CACAGGCUCACCCUGAAGGGGAGGGAGGGGGCACAGGCUCACCCUGAAGGGGAGGGAGAGGGGACAGGCUCACCCUGAAGGGGAGAUACACGCAGGGCCCAGACCUGAGGGCAGCAGGUGAGGGGCCGCGAAGGGAGCUAGCGACGCAGAGACUCCCUCUGAGGAGAAGGCGAAGACCUGCGUCCUGUGGCUGCAGUGGGUUGAUCAGUGCCCCGCCCCCCGGGAACUGGAGCUGUCUGUCACUAGCCUGCACGUCUCAGACCCUGAAAACUCCAUUCCCAGUCCUUAGUGAUCCUCUCCUGGUGAUGCCAGGUCCGUUACCGGGCACCUUCCUGGGGUGAGAGUACGCUGCUCCAGCCCCUCCAGGGUUUCAGAUACAGUCAGAAGUCAAGAAGCAGCGAAAUUCUGCAGCAGUAGGGGGAGAAUUGUUUUUUUCUAAGGGAAAUGAAUAUAGUUUUCAGGACGUAGACAAGGGUCUUUGGCUGGCGUUGGUAACUCGUGUGGUUCGUUCCCCGGCCCUCUCCCUUGUCUGUGUACUUUCCUUCAGGAAGCAGCGUUGCCAAGCCCUGUGCUGGGGAGCUGAUCCCGACCCUGAAGGAGCCCAGACCACGGAGAGAGAGAAGUAGCCACGAACGGAACUGAAGACAGUUCAUAACGCUGUGAUAGAGGACGACGGACACCUUGCUGUGGGGCCACUUAAAAUGUAUUCUUUAAAAAUAUCAGUCAACAUUUCACUUUGCUCAAAACCCUGUAAAGGAUUUCCGUUUCACUCAGUGAGAGCCAAAGUUCUUCCAAUGGAAAAGUCGCUACACGGUCUGGCUUCCUCCUCCUCCUGUUAUGGAACCGAAGUGAGUUCUCUCCUGUUUUUUUUACCUAGGCUUCUGGGAGAGGAGACAUCUGUACACGACCUGGGACGGGAAUCGAGACCCAGGAUGGGAAGGGGGUUGGAGCAGCUCUCAUAACUUACAGGAAUUCUUGGCCACGCCUCUGCAGCCCAAAGACUCUGUUUGCUCUCCAGUUCCUGCCUCCAGGCCGCAGCACCGGCCUUGCCCGCACUGGGGUGCCCUCCAUCCCUCCUGCGCCCUCACGGCCCCAUUACAAUGCAGGUCGAUACUGCCACCCCCGCCGAAGGUUUCCAAGCCAGCUCACCCACAGCCCAGAUUUAUCCUCUCUGUGGACACACACCUCCUUCCAUUCUUCACUUUUCUGAUUAGACCUCUUACUGGUUUUGCAUGCUUCUUUGACUCAGUUAUCUCUGUUUAAAAUCUGUUUUUUUAUUCCUCAGUGACAUCAACCCCAAACACUCUACAUUCUACCAUAUGCUUUGCUGUGUGGUGUAGGGAAUAGAAAGGUGGGAGAUGUUCUGGGCUCACAAUCUAGAAGGUGAGACAGACCCAGGAGGCAGGCUGGGCCCACGAGAAGCCGUAGACUGACAAGCGGCAUGCAUGGGGAUGCGAGGAGACACAUUCUCAGGGGGCAAUGCUCUGGUGGCUCCUGCGGCCUGGCUGGCCUCUCCUGCUCUCUCGGGCGCUCACAGGGGUCGUUUCCACGGGGUUCUUCUACAGGGCUUUAACGCCAGCAGCCACACCAUUGUGGUGUUAAGACCAUGGCGGGACAUUGCCAAUGAAACGUCCGCAAAACGGGGAGGAAGUUCAUGGAGGAGGCAGGGGCAGGGAGAAAAGUGGGAAGGCCAUUUAGCAGAAAAGCAAAAAUAUCUGUCAUUGAGAAUUUUGGAAUGUUUGUGCUGGAGGCAGAGAGGAGGAAAAUGUAAAAAGUCUGAAAAAAAAAAAAAAGCCGCCGUCUGUCUGGGGCACCAGCACGCAGUCAUUCGAGACCACAGAGUGACACCUAGUGGACACCUGGGAAGAUGCUUCCUGCAGGGGAGCUCGGCGCCGCCCGCCCAAGUGGUUUCGUAGAGCUGGGGAUGCCGAGCGCAGGAAGGACCCGGGCCCGGUGCUCGCCGCUCGGAGCUGCCCCCGAUCCGCCCUGGGAGGACGCCCGGGGAGAGUGCUGUGCCGGGACUCCGGAGUCCAGUCCUGGCCCAGAUGCCAGCUGGGAGACCUCGCACGGGAAACUGUGUCUGUCGGGAAGCGGGGAGAGGCUCUUCCCUCGGCUCCACCGCUCUGGAUUCCCCCCUCUGCCAGCCCCCAGCCCCGCUCCGCACAGCCCCUGCCUCCGCUGUUCUGCCCGCCCUCCUUGGAGGACUGCGGUGAGCUCGGAG
ensembl:lncRNA